rnacentral:rRNA from 1 species
CCUACGGGGGGCUGCAGUGGGGAAUAUUGCACAAUGGGCGCAAGCCUGAUGCAGCCAUGCCGCGUGUGUGAAGAAGGCCUUCGGGUUGUAAAGCACUUUCAGCGGGGAGGAAGGCGUUAAGGUUAAUAACCUUGGCGAUUGACGUUACCCGCAGAAGAAGCACCGGCUAACUCCGUGCCAGCAGCCGCGGUAAUACGGAGGGUGCAAGCGUUAAUCGGAAUUACUGGGCGUAAAGCGCACGCAGGCGGUCUGUCAAGUCGGAUGUGAAAUCCCCGGGCUCAACCUGGGAACUGCAUUCGAAACUGGCAGGCUAGAGUCUUGUAGAGGGGGGUAGAAUUCCAGGUGUAGCGGUGAAAUGCGUAGAGAUCUGGGGGAAUACCGGUGGCGAAGGCGGCCCCCUGGACAAAGACUGACGCUCAGGUGCGAAAGCGUGGGGAGCAAACAGGAUUAGAUACCCCGGUAGUC